GGUCACUUACGUCAUGAGUAAGGAAAGGGCCUGGCUGUGACAGGCUGUCUUAGGAUUCACCAUUGCCGUCCUGGACUGCUAGGCAUGGAACAUCGUGUGACCAACAUGAAGUUCUUCUCCCAGCCCACUGAUGGAGGGUCACGUUCCCCUCCCACAGACGGCAGGAUCCUGCCAGGAGCCCAGGCUCAGCAGAGACAUCCUCACCAUCCCCCAUGUUAUCACCAUGACAGCUCAGAGAGAGCCCCAGUGACCUGUGUCACAAUAGGAUCUUGUAGACAUGACUGUGACCUCCAAGCCUGGGUCGUAAAAGACAAUCACUCUGCCAAUCUGUCUCUGAGAGCAGCCAGCCACCAUGCCCUGCAGAUGCCCAAGCAGUCCUGUGGAGAGCCAUGUAUGGAGAGGAACCAGCCGUGUGAGGGAUUGCCGGGGAAGGGAGUCUUCUGGCCUCAGUCACACCUUCAGAUGAGACCACAGCCCCAAACACCCACCCAACUGCUCCCAAAUUUCUGACUUCCAGAAACCAGGAGAGCCCAUAUGUGUUGAUCGUUAUACGACUGAAUUAUGGACCCAAGACCUCUCUCCCCUGCUGGCUCUCCAAUUCAGUCCGAAGAUGGGGACAGAGACCACGGGAAGGUCACAGCACUCCUAAACCCUCUGGACUGGAAGUGGCACUUGCUGGACCCACUCAUGUUCCACUAUGGCCCCAGCAGCCCUCUGAGAUGCAACGCAACAUCCCUGGUCAGCAGGGGCAGCCACCAUACUCCUCAGUGAUCCAGCCCAGGGCCCAUCAGUGCUUGUGGCCGAGACUUGGGCUGCAGAGGCUGGAAUGUGGCCUCUGACCAGCCUGCUGUGCACAGAGAAGGAAGAACAUGAAAACGUGAGCAAUGAAGCCAACAAUAACCCAUCAUUUAAAUCCUGCUUCUCACACUUUGUCUUGGAAACAAAAGUGAUCCAAGGAAUUCAUGCCCAGUCUCCACCCAACGGAACCCUGCUGAGGCAUCGAUGGCCUUGCAGAUCCUCUCCAGCAGGGCCUCCCAGGCUGGUGUGGUUCCUCCACGAGAAAUGUGAAAUCUUCUGUCACCAUAUACAUUUGGGAAAUGUCAGGAGCAUCUCCUCGGGAUUCAGCCCCAAAACGGAUGGGCACACGCACUGGGCAGGACCGAGCAGCGGAAGCUGAGUGCCAAUGUGAGUGUAAGUGGUCGGGCCACCUGGCAAGCAUCUGGCAGCUUCCCUUGGAGGGAAGCACUCACCUGGCCUAUUAACCGGGACAAAUGAAAAUACAUGCCCCCCACCCCCGCCAAGACCACCUGCCCCUGUUUGGA